rnacentral:rRNA from 1 species
GGCAGUUAGAGGCGAUGAAGGACGUGUAAGUCUGCGAAAAGCUGUGGUGAGCCGACAAAAUGCAUUUGAGCCACAGAUGUCCGAAUGGGGAAACCCACCUGUUUACAGGUAUCGUUAACUGAAUACAUAGGUUAACGAGGCAAACGAGGGGAACUGAAACAUCUAAGUACCCGGAGGAAAAGAAAUCAACCGAGAUUCCCUUAGUAGCGGCGAGCGAACGGGUAACAGCCGAUGGUUUAUGUUGUAGUGGAAUCUUCUGGGAAGUUGAGCGAUACAGGGUGAUAGCCCCGUACACGAAAGCGAGCCCAAGUGAAAUCGAGUAGGUCGGGACACGUGUUAUCUUGACUGAAUAUGGGGGGACCAUCCUCCAAGGCUAAAUACUCCUAACUGACCGAUAGUGAACCAGUACCGUGAGGGAAAGGCGAAAAGAACCCCUGUGAGGGGAGUGAAAUAGAUCCUGAAACCGUAUACGUACAAGCAGUGGGAGCAGACUUGUUCUGUGACUGCGUACCUUUUGUAUAAUGGGUC